UACGUAGGGGGCAAGCGUUGUCCGGAUUUAUUGGGCGUAAAGAGCGUGUAGGCGGUUUGGUAGGUCCGUUGUGAAAACUCGAGGCUCAACCUCGAGACGCCGGCGGAAACCAUCAGGCUAGAGUCCGGAAGAGGAGAGUGGAAUUCCUGGUGUAGCGGUGAAAUGCGCAGAUAUCAGGAGGAACACCGGUGGCGAAGGCGGGUCUCUGGGCCGAUACUGACGCUGAGGAACGAAAGCGUGGGGAGCGAACAGG
rnacentral:rRNA from 1 species